GACCAGGUCUGUCAGGAAGGUGACAGAAGAGAGUGAGCACACAGGGUUCUUUCUUGCAUGAGUGCCUCAUGCUUGAAACUUUAUGUGCUUGCUCUCCUUCCGUCACCCGCCUCUUUCUCUCCCCC
rnacentral:pre_miRNA from 1 species